CUAACACAUGCAAGUCGAGCGGCAGCGAGGUUAGUAGCAAUACUAAUUGUCGGCGAGCGGCGGACGGGUGAGGAACACGUAGGGAUCUGCCUUAGAGAGGGGGAUAACCAAGGGAAACUUUGGCUAAUACCGCAUAAACUCGGGAGAGAAAAGCUGCCUGCAAGGAUGGCGCUUUAAGACGAGCCUGCGUCCGAUUAGGUAGUUGGUAGGGUAAAGGCCUACCAAGGCAAUGAUCGGUAACUGGUCUGAGAGGACGACCAGUCACACUGGGACUGAGACACGGCCCAGACUCCUACGGGAGGCAGCAGUGGGGAAUCUUGGACAAUGGGGGCAACCCUGAUCCAGCGAUGCCGCGUGGGUGAAGAAGGCCUUCGGGUUGUAAAGCCCUUUAGGUUGGGAAGAAGUGCAUAAGUUUAAGAGAUGUAUGCAUUGACGGUACCGACAGAAUAAGCACCGGCAAACUCUGUGCCAGCAGCCGCCGCGG
rnacentral:rRNA from 1 species